CGAAUCGGAAGUACGGUUUCAUACAAAGUAAAAGUGCAGUGCAUUCGAACGACUUAUUUUAUGACAGUGUUUCUGUCGGGAAAGGAAGAGGAAUCCUCGCUUGAAAAACCGUAAAGAUUGACGCAUUCGCUAAUUCUACAAGUCAUCAAGGACAAGUUUCAAGCUCGCACCAAUAAUGGCUGACGAAGACUUACAUUACGCACAGCGCAUGUCCAGUGUGGUGGAAGAGGGGCCUGCUGAUCAGUCUCAAUUUGAAAGAAAUAAAAUACUCAUACGAGGGCUGAGUGUGAAAACUUUCCCGGACGGACUGGUUAACUUUAUCGAGGCAAGGAGUGGCGGGAAAGAGGUGAAGGACGUACAGAUG